AUGGAUACUCGCUGUUGGCGAUAUACGGUCAGCGGCCAAGCGAAAGCAUUAAGUAUCCCACCUGGGGAGUACGCCGGCAACGGUGAAACUCAAAGGAAUUGACGGGGGCUCGCACAAGCGGAGGAACAUGUGGUUUAAUUCGAUGAUACGCGAGGAACCUUACCCGGGCUUAAAUUAUGCAUGAAUCAUCUGGAGACAGAUGAGCCGCAAGGCAUGUAUGAAGGUGCUGCAUGGUUGUCGUCAGCUCGUGCCGUGAGGUGUCGGCUUAAGUGCCAUAACGAGCGCAACCCUUUCUGCCA
rnacentral:rRNA from 1 species